AGACGCGCCUCCUUGGUCCUCUGGGUGGAUCCGGCCUGGCGGAGCCUGGAGCCCGGCCUGGUGGAGCCCGGAGCCUCGAGCCCGGAGCCACUCCCACCCCGGCACCACGGGCAUUUUUAGCAAGCUUGUAUACUCUUUCAUUUUAUUCUUUUAAAUAAUCAUGUAGUUCUGUAAGCCCCUGCCAUCCAGCCUCCCAGGCCCUCACUUCCAGCCCCUCAUUUUCAGUUCCUCUGAGUUAAUUUAAAAUUUUCAGGUUGAUCAUCUGUUGCUUGGCUCCACAUCUCUGAGUAGCAUGCUUCUAGCUGUUUGUAGUUAUUUCUUGAUGACUGUACUUUGGGGUUAUCUUGUUGCUUUUUUAUGCAGAGGAUGAUGAUUUACUCUCUAUUCUCACCCUACACAGGAUGUGAGCCCCGCCCACUUCCCCCAGCAUAGCCACAUCAGACUCUGAUUAAUUAAAUGUCACUCACAGCUGAUUCAUGCAGUAAGCUGGAAUCCUGCUUCAUUCUUGGACAACCAUUUGCUUUUCCUGGCGUUAAUAGUUGCCUUUAGUUUCUUUUGAUUACUUGUUAUGUCUUUAACACCAACUCAGCUGGGCUCACAGGCAGUGGCUUAACUCGCUGCCCCACAGCACUGGCCCACCUUUAGACGCUAGCCCACCCCUAGGUGUGUCUUAAUUGUGCUUGCUGAGACUUGGGAAGUGUAGCACAGGUUCGUUCUCUGUUCAUUCUGGGUAGCUUAGACGUCAGCUCUCCGGGAGCUGCUGAGUCUUCAGCACUCAGUCUUGUGUUUUCUGGCUUUGGAAACAUUUCCUCUGCUGCUUGAUCUCUCAUCUUCCCUCUCUCUGCUGUCUGCCUGAGGAGAACAGUUAGAACAUCUGGCACAGCCAGGACAUGGACCAGCGCGAUGUGGGAUGCUGUCGUCGUAGGCGGCAGCUUUGCCCGCUGCGCCCCAGCGCUGGCCCCCAGAUCCACUCUCUUUCCCAGACAUCUCCACUGUGAUGUUUUUUCUACAUCAUGCAUAUAUGUAUUUUAUAAUUUGAAAGAAGCUUUCUUAAAGAGUGAGAAAAUACCUCAAUAGUGCAGACUUUUUCAAUGUGUUUCGUGCAACUCAAGAGACCCUUGUUAACUAAUAAAAAUGAUAAUAAAAUGAUAACAGGAUGGGAUCAGUAAUGGCAGUUGGCCAGGUGCUCACAGGUGGGUGACUCUGCACCCGGCUCCUCUUGCUGUGUUAUGUCCUUCUCACAAACAAGACAGGUUCAGAGAGGCGCGGUAAUGUGCCUGGGUCACACCACAGCUGUCACGUGGUGCACGUGGCUUCAUGGAAAGGUUAAUACAGAGUUCGUCCAGGGCAGAAUAUGAGUGACCCUGGCCGCGGAGACACAAGCCCAGUGCUCCAGUGCCAGUCAGAGUGUGCAUUCCACGGCGGUAAAUCUGUAUUUAUCGCUCCGCGCGAUCAUGCUGGGCUUUGGGUCAGCAGGGGUGCACCUCUCACAGGCUGGAGCUCACGUUGGUUACAGAGACCGGCAGAGACCGGGGCUGCCGAGAGGAAGGCUGAGGUUCUGCUGAGAGGGGCGGUCCUGGGACCAGACAAGGAGGGCACGGCCCUGAACCAGGGGCCAUCCGAGGUUGCUCCGAUGGCUGCCCCGCAGACCCUGAGGGUGCAGCACCAGUCCCGUGGGCCUGUGGACAAGACAGACGGACGGCUCUGCACAGCUGUCGGGUGGGGGCCGCCUGGGAGAGACCGUGCUGAGUGGUGUAAGGCCGUGCCCCUCCUGGGACUGGGACAUUUGCACUUUGUGGGUGAUGGAGACAGGGGAGGGGCAGCAAUUUCUGUUGUGGGGGGAGAGAGUGAGAACACCCCCCCCCAUGCUAGUCUUGUUCUUAGGUUCUGGUCUCCACCCAUGAAAUAAUCAGAGAAGGAGGGAGACACACACUCAGCUGGGAGUAGGAGGAAGUGAGCGCUAGCGGUUGGCAAGAUUCCAGGUCUUGCCCCUGGAGGAUAGGGCUGGUUCUGGGAGCAGGGCCUAAUUAAAUAUUUAAAAGAGGCGGAGUUUGGGGUGGGGCUACAGGAGUUUCAUGGUGUUGGGUGCAAGUGCGGCUGCAGGAAUCUAGGAAGUGUCACCGAGUCUGUUGCAUGAUGGGAGGUGAGGCUUGGCGAGUCUAGUGCAUGAUGGGAGGUGAGGCUCGGCGAGUCUGGUGCAUGAUGGGAGGUGAGGCUCAGGUGCCUGCUUGCCCAGCGCACAGAAAGCCAAUCACUGACAUCGCCGGCAGGGGGCUCCACUCCUGGGGGCUUACAGGUGGCUGGGAGGAGGUGUGUGCUGAGCUCGCAGCCAUGUUGCUCCUGGCUGCAAUGCCCUGCCCAUGACUGUCCUGUGAUUGGUGUUGCCGUAUCUUUUAGGGGAUGUCUGAGCGGGCUGCGGCGGGCGGCAGGCAGGUGGUGGUCAUGUCUGCUCCGGCCCUGGCAUUGGCCAUGGAGAAAGCCCUCUAGACCAUGCCAGCCGUGAAGGCGUUACCUGUUGGUGCAGGGGUGGCCUGCAGAGCCCGGGGAUUGGAGCCCGUGGGGCUGCCUGCCCCAUUCCCGCAGCUCGGCGGCUUAGUGUUAACAGGCACAGCACUGGGGCUUGAUUUCAGAUCCAAGGGAGGCCUGUGAAUUUGGACACACCUGCGCCGUCCUCUCCACUCAGCUUUCAUCAACCUUGAAGCUGACACUUGGUGUCUCGGUGUCUGUCCAACUAACUCUCACACCCGGCUGUGUUUCCAAACCUGGACAAGAAGUGGGGGUGGUUUAAGGACUCCUUGUGUCCUGGUGGCUGGUUGCUCCUUACCGGGGCCUAAUUGUCUCCUGCCAUGGGAGGACACCACAGGAUGCAGAAGCAGCAGCACCGUCCCAGUCCACCUGCUGUCUGGGAGAACCAGGAAGGAAGUUACAUAAAUGUCCCAUUUAGAAGAGUGAGUGGCAUAUUGUCUUGCAAAUGAAUUUUUAUUCUUUUGGGUGGCCUGGAUGUUUUCCAAAGCCCAUCAUUAAUACUGCAUAGAAAUGCAAGUCUGUCGUCUCUCCCAGGAGCCCAGGCGCCUUCUCUAGGCACAGCCUCAGGUGCUGGGAUUAAGAAGAAAACAAGAUCUUCUUAAAGCCCCAGCCCUGUCCCCCACGCUUCGGGCUUGCAUUUGCAGAAUGAAGCCUGUGCCUCACUCUGGCCUGCCUCUCCCUGGGGACUGGGGUUUUCGGGACACGCGGACAGGAGGAAGGAGACCUGUCUGGGCUCCUGGCAGGUGCAGGCAGAGGGGGCCUGUGGCUCCCGGUCCCCCUUUCCCCUUCAGCUUGGAUUUAAAUCACCCUCCGCCCCAUCCCCACCGGGACUGCUCUCGGGUGCACCUCUUCUUCCCGAACGCCUGGAUGCUCCGACAUCCAGUUCGCCGCCAGCGUCUUCGGUCCUUCCCUGGUCCCUGCACCUCCUUCCGCCAUGCCUCCAUCACACGUGCCUGGGCCUCCCCACAGUGAUGUUAUUAACAGCAGCAGACCAGCAAAGACAUCAACCUCUCAUACGUAACCCAGCGGCGCGUCAAGCAGUUCUAAGCACUUAGAGGCUUUCUGUUCAUUUCAUCAGACCACCGGGCGAGGCACUGCGGCUUCUUGCCGUGCUGGAAUGAGAAGGAUCAGAGUCACCCCUCGCCUACAGCAAAGCAAAGCAAAACACGAGAGCAAGGUGUGUGAGGCUGAGGACCUGGACCUCAGGCCAAGGGGUCCCUGAGACAUGGCGGCAGCUGAGCCCAGCCCUGCAGGUGGCCCAGGGGCUGCCCUGGAAGGGUGUCCUGCUGAGGUCCAGCAAGAAGGAACCAGGCGGGGACAGAGCCGAGGCUCUGGGAACCCCAGGCAGCUCAGUUUCGCGGGAUGGGAAACCGGCGAGGAAUGAGCUGCAUGGAGGGAGAACUAGGAGAGAGCCCUGGAUCCCCUUCCUACACCUGAUACCUGCUCAGCGCCUGUAUGGGAGGAAAACACGACCCCACCCCAGAGGGUUAGGGAGAAGAGCACUCAGCACCAUGCAGGGCCCCCACAGCCAACUGGGAGACCCCCUCACAGUGGGCACAGCGGAGAGGACUCAGGUCUUGCCCAGUGGCGGUGGUCAUCUCCACACUGAAGUCUACGCUGAUGUCACUAAAUGUCCUAAAGCGUGACCAGCAAAGACCAGUCCGCUUCCAGGGAUCUCAGCCGCACCCCUGACCAAAGCUCCGGGUGACCAGGGCCUUCGGAAGAUGCAAGGACAAUGCAUAUUGUGAAAAGGCUGCGCGCAGGCCUAACACGUGUUGUGUUGUGCCAAAAGAAGCUUUUUAACUCUGUUUCUCCAUGAGUGUUUUUGAAGUACCCUCCAAAAAUAUCCAGGAUAAACUCACAAUGGAAAAUUGCCAUUCAUGACACGAACAGGACAGGCGUGACUGCUGACGUGGGGAAGAAUCCGUCCAGGGAAGCAGCCCAGAACUGCCGGACUGGUAGAAGGACCAGAGAGUUACGCUAAGAGUGAAGCUGUUUCCCAUGCAUUUCCCAGAGGUCAAGUAGAACGUGGAGGCUAUCAGAGGACCCGAGGAGUCUGCACCUGAGGUGUCUUCCCUGUAUCGGCAUCAAGAGCAGACUGCAGAAUAGCGGGUUAGUGAACUGGGAAGCCUAGACCCGUCAACGAUUCAGAACAAAAGCAGGAGGAGACGAGCAGAGCCGCUGAGCUGUGGAACAACUUCGUCUGACCAAACCCAGAGGAAAUGGAUUUCCCAAGUGUAGGGGGCAGGAAAUAUUAUAAGAUACAGAGGCUGAAAAUCUCCCGCGUUUGAUAAAAGCUCUAAACCUACAGGAUUCAGGAGAUUCAGCAAAUCCCAAGCAUGAGAGACAGGAGAAUUACUCCACGGACCUCGUGGUCAGAUGGCUCCAAGCCAGUGACAAAGAAAACUGUAAAAGCAACAAGAGAACAGAUAGAUUGCAGACAUUACCGAAUGAGGAUCGGAUGGACGGAUGUCUCAUUGCAAACCGUAGAAGCAAGAUAACGGAUGGCUGUCCUCCAAGACACUGUCGGACUCAAAUUCUACAUCGAAGGUAGGUCCUUCAGUAACGGAAGUGAACAGACGUUUCCAGACGUGGUUCCUGAAACAUUUCAUCGCCGGGAGUCCCAUGGAGCAGAAACCGUGCAGGAAGUCCUUUAGACAGAAAGGUGCGCGUAGAUGGAGCCUGGACUCGCACGAAGACGUGAGCCCCAGCCACGCCACGGCGAUGGCGCGAGCAAACGCACAGACUGUGCUUAACAGUCGGCCGACUGCGUGGCCGGUGUUCUUGAGAGAUAAAGAGAAUGGGGCAGGAUCUGUGUGCAUGGAGAUGAGCCUCGACAAUGCUACGCCAAGGAGAAGCCAGACACAUUGCUCACGCAUUGCAUCGUCCCGUUUACGUGCAGCAUCCACCAUCAGUAAAGCCGCAGAAGCAGGGCGGGGCUGGUGGCUGCCGGGGACCGGGCGCGGGGACGUCCGGGGCGUCACUGCCUGCCUGGUGCGGCGUUUUCUUCUGCAUGAUGAAGCAUUUCGGAACAAGAUGGGUGGGCUGGGCGCACAGCACUAAGUCCUCAUUAAUCGUUGACUUUAAAUGUCUGUCUUCUGAAUUUCUUCUCAAUUCACAUUUCCCAAGAAUUCAUUGGUUCAACCGAAACCGCCAGGGAGAGGUGGAUCAGGCAUGUGGAACUGCACUGUAUGGGGGGAGAAAUGGAGGUGAACUGGUGUAGAGUUGCAGCCCUCCGUGUGGAACGGGUGUUGUCACCUGGAGGCAGCCUGUGGGCAGCGCAAGCUGGGAGCUGCUGAAAUGACAAAACAGACUUGUAACCAAGAGACCAACAAGGAGACAGCAUAGAAACACAAGUCCUGGGGGCUGGCGCUGUGGCAUAGUGGGUAGAGCGGCCACCUGCAGUGUCUGCAUCCCAUAAGGGCGCUGGUUCAAGUCCCGGCUGCUCCACUCCUGGUCCAGCUGUCUGCUGUGGCCUGGGAAAGCAGUAGAAGAUAGCCCAAGUCCUGGAGUCCCUGCACUCACGUGGGAGACCUGGAAGAAGCUCCUGGCUCCAGUUCGGCGCAGCUCUGUCAAUUGUGGCCAUCGGGAGAGUGAACCAGCGGGUGGAAGACCUCUCUCUCUCUUUCUCUCUCUCUCUCCCUCUCCCUCCCUGCCUUCCUCUCUCCCUCCUUCCCUCCCUUCCUCUCUGUAACUCUGCCUUUCAAAUAAAUAAAUAAAUAAAUAAAUCUUAAAAAAAAAAAAAGAAACACAAGUCCCAGCUGUUCUACUUCCCAUCCAGCUCCCUGCUAAUGCGCCUGGGAAAGCAGUAGAGGAUGCCCCAAGUGCUUGGGCCCCUGCACCCAUGUGGGAGACCCAGAGGAAGCUCCUGGCUCCUGGCUUCAGAUCAGCACAGCUCCAGCCUUUGCGGUCAUCUGGGGAGUGAACCAGUGGAUGGAAGACCUCUCUCUGUCUCUCCUUCCCUCUGUAGCUCUACCUCUCAAACAAACAAAUAAAAUCUUAAAAAAAAAAAAAAAGAAGGAACCUAAGAAUCCAAAAGCAGAUGAUAGACGA